AUUGAACGCUGGCGGCAUGCUUUACACAUGCAAGUCGAACGGCAGCGCGGGCUUCGGCCUGGCGGCGAGUGGCGAACGGGUGAGUAAUACAUCGGAACGUGCCCAGUAGUGGGGGAUAGCUCGGCGAAAGCCGGAUUAAUACCGCAUACGACCUGAGGGUGAAAGCGGGGGAUCUUCGGACCUCGCGCUAUUGGAGCGGCCGAUGGCAGAUUAGCUAGUUGGUGGGGUAAAGGCCUACCAAGGCGACGAUCUGUAGCUGGUCUGAGAGGACGACCAGCCACACUGGGACUGAGACACGGCCCAGACUCCAACGGGAGGCAGCAGUGGGGAAUUUUGGACAAUGGGCGAAAGCCUGAUCCAGCAAUGCCGCGUGUGUGAUGAAGGCCUUCGGGUUGUAAAGCACUUUUGGCGGGAACGAAAAGGACUGUGCCAAUACCACGGUUCGAUGACGGUACCCGCAGAAUAAGCACCGGCUAACUACGUG
rnacentral:rRNA from 1 species